rnacentral:rRNA from 1 species
GACGAACGCUGGCGGCGUGCUUAACACAUGCAAGUCGAACGGAAAGGCCCUGCUUUUGUGGGGUGCUCGAGUGGCGAACGGGUGAGUAACACGUGAGUAACCUGCCCUUGACUUUGGGAUCACUUCAGGCAACUGGGGCUAAUACCGGAUAGGAGCUCCUGCUGCAUGGUGGGGGUUGGAAAGUUUCGGCGGUUGGGGAUGGACUCGCGGCUUAUCAGCUUGUUGGUGGGGUAGUGGCUUACCAAGGCUUUGACGGGUAGCCGGCCUGAGAGGGUGACCGGCCACAUUGGGACUGGGAUACGGCCCAGACGCAUACGGGAGGCAGCAGUGGGGAAUAGUGCACAAUGGGCGGAAGCAUGAUGUAGCAACGCCGCGUGCGGGAUGACGACCUUCGGGUUGUAAACCGCUUUCGCCUGUGACGAAGCGUGAGUGACGGUAAUGGGUAAAGAAGCACCGGCUAACUACGUG